UAAGGGACCGGUCAUUAUUUAUGGUGGGGGGUGGCACCGAAGAGAAAUGUUUUUUGUGGCAAAAAUUUUGCUGACCCAACCAUUAAAAAGUCAAAAAUUUGAUUACCCUACCUCAAAUAUCAAUUAAAAAAUAAAUACCCACCCCUGGCCAAAAACUUUACAAAUUGAAAACCAUUCAGUUGUCACACGUGUCCUUUACCAUUUUUGUGACAUGAGUUUGAUAACGGCUUGUGAAAUUUUCUAAAGUUGCAUGUUGUCUGCAACAAAUCGGACUGAAAUGAUCAAGAUAG